UACGAAGGGGCUAGCGUUGUUCGGAAUUACUGGGCGUAAAGGGCGCGUAGGCGGUGUGUCAAGUCAGGCGUGAAAGCCCCGGGCUCAACCUGGGAACCGCGCUUGAGACUGGCACGCUCGAGUUGGAGAGGAUGGUGGAAUUCCCAGUGUAGAGGUGAAAUUCGUAGAUAUUGGGAAGAACACCGAUGGACGAAGGCCAGCCAGUCUGGACCGACACUGACGCUGAGGCGCGAAAGCGUGGGAGCAAACAGG
rnacentral:rRNA from 1 species